GUACGCGUGCAGUAUUUGUGAUAAAUUGAUGAACAUAGAAGUAAUAUAGAAUACAUUUAGCUUUAUAAUAAAAUAAAAGCUUUUUACAAGAAGUUGUGUCAAUUUCCCUAUCUGUCAAAUAUGAAGUGUCUUGAGGAAAAAAUCAUUUUGCUAACAUAAAUUGUGCAAAUUAGACUUCUUUCAAAUUAAGAAUACACCUAGUGCAAGUAUUUCAAAAUGUCAGAAGCAACAACUAUCCCUGACAAUGAACCAAAAAUUAAAAUCGAACCACCAGAAAGUUCAAUUGAAGACAUUAAAAA